UACGUAGGUGACAAGCGUUGUCCGGAUUUACUGGGCGUAAAGAGCUCGUAGGCGGUCUGUCGCGUCUGCUGUGAAAAUCCAGGGCUCAACCCUGGACCUGCAGUGGGUACGGGCAGACUAGAGUGCGGUAGGGGAGAUCGGAAUUCCUGGUGUAGCGGUGAAAUGCGCAGAUAUCUGGAAGAACACCGGUGGCGGAAGGCGGUGGUCUGGGGCCGUGACUGACGGCUGAGGAGCGAAAGCCAGGGGGAGCCGAAACGGGGAUU
rnacentral:rRNA from 1 species